GAUGAACGCUGGCGGCGUGCCUAAUACAUGCAAGUCGAGCGAACGGACGAGAAGCUUGCUUCUCUGAUGUUAGCGGCGGACGGGUGAGUAACACGUGGAUAACCUACCUAUAAGACUGGGAUAACUUCGGGAAACCGGAGCUAAUACCGGAUCAUAUUUUGAACCGCAUGGUUCAAAAGUGAAAGACGGUCUUGCUGUCACUUAGAGAUGGAUCCGCGCUGCAUUAGCUAGUUGGUAAGGUAACGGCUUACCAAGGCAACGAUGCAUAGCCGACCUGAGAGGGUGAUCGGCCACACUGGAACUGAGACACGGUCCAGACUCCUACGGGAGGCAGCAGUAGGGAAUCUUCCGCAAUGGGCGAAAGCCUGACGGAGCAACGCCGCGUGAGUGAUGAAGGUCUUCGGAUCGUAAAACUCUGUUAUUAGGGAAGAACAUAUGUGUAAGUAACUGUGCACAUCUUGACGGUACCUAAUCAGAAAGCCACGGCUAACUACGUG
rnacentral:rRNA from 1 species